rnacentral:tRNA from 1 species
ACCUGGGUGGCUCAGUCGGUUAAGCAUCUGACUUCAGUUCAGGUCAUGAUCUCACGGUCUGUGGGUUCGAGCCCCACAUCAGGCU